UGGGGAAUCUUCCACAAUGGGCGAAAGCCUGAUGGAGCAACGCCGCGUGUGUGAUGAAGGGUUUCGGCUCGUAAAACACUGUUGUAAGAGAAGAAUGACAUUGAGAGUAACUGUUCAAUGUGUGACGGUAUCUUACCAGAAAGGAACGGCUAAAUACGUGCAG
rnacentral:rRNA from 1 species